UACGGAGGGAGCAAGCGUUACUCGGAAUUAUUGGGCGUAAAGGGCUCGUAGGCGAUUUGAAAAGUCUUGUGUGAAAGCCCCGAGCUUAACUCGGGAAGUGCACAAGAAACUGUUGAAUUUGAGUUCCGGAGAGGAAGGCAGAAUUCCCGGUGUAGCGGUGAAAUGCGUAGAUAUCGGGAGGAAUACCAGUGGCGAAGGCGGCCUUCUGGACGGAUACUGACGCUGAGGCGCGAAAGCCAGGGGAGCAAACGGG
rnacentral:rRNA from 1 species